rnacentral:rRNA from 1 species
GAUGAACGCUAGCGGGAGGCCUAACACAUGCAAGCCGAGCGGUAUUGUUUCUUCGGAAAUGAGAGAGCGGCGUACGGGUGCGGAACACGUGUGCAACCUGCCUUUAUCGGGGGGAUAGCCUUUCGAAAGGAAGAUUAAUACUCCAUAACAUAUUGAUUGGCAUCAAUUAAUAUUGAAAGCUACGGCGGAUAGAGAUGGGCACGCGUAAGAUUAGCUAGUUGGUGAGGUAACGGCUCACCAAGGCGAUGAUCUUUAGGGGGCCUGAGAGGGUGAUCCCCCACACUGGUACUGAGACACGGACCAGACUCCUACGGGAGGCAGCAGUGAGGAAUAUUGGUCAAUGGGUGCAAGCCUGAACCAGCCAUCCCGCGUGAAGGACGACUGCCCUAUGGGUUGUAAACUUCUUUUGUGUAGGGAUAAACCUAUCCUCGUGAGGGUAGCUGAAGGUACUAUACGAAUAAGCACCGGCUAACUCCGUGCCAGCCGCCGCAGUAAUAC